rnacentral:rRNA from 1 species
GACGAACGCUGGCGGCGUGCUUAACACAUGCAAGUCGAGCGGAAAGGCCCUUCGGGGUACUCGAGCGGCGAACGGGUGCGUAACACGUGAGUAACCUGCCCCAGACUUUGGGAUAACCCUCGGAAACGGGGGCUAAUACCGGAUACGACACAGCUUCGCAUGGGGUCUGUGUGGAAAGUUUUUCGGUUGGGGAUGGGCUCGCGGCCUAUCAGCUUGUUGGUGGGGUGAUGGCCUACCAAGGCGACGACGGGUAGCCGGCCUGAGAGGGCGACCGGCCACACUGGGACUGAGACACGGCCCAGACUCCUACGGGAGGCAGCAGUGGGGAAUAUUGCACAAUGGGCGGAAGCCUGAUGCAGCGACGCCGCGUGAGGGAUGACGGCCUUCGGGUUGUAAACCUCUUUCAGCAGGGACGAAGCGUAAGUGACGGUACCUGCAGAAGAAGCGCCGGCCAACUACGUG